AAAGAUGUGAAACGCAAGUACUAAUUAUAGCAUAACUAAAGAAUAAAUUUCCCAGAAAAUUCCUGUUGGCCAUGUCCAUGAUUUAAAUUCCCUAUUUGUUUACUUGCUGAUAAACCUAGCAGAAAAGUGAAGAGUAAGCAACUCGAUUUUUUCAUCCACAUGAAAGGAGGAAAGGUAAUUGCAUCCCAUAAGCAAAAUUUCCACAAACUUUUCGUAGAAAUUUCCACAAAGACCUAAUCUUCAUCAAACUUGAUCCUUUUUGGAGCAGGCAGGACGCCAGCAACAAUUUCUGGGCACUCGUAAUCAAGACCAGCAGCCUCUAUCAUCUUUUGUCGCUUCUGACCUCGCUUCAUAAUCUUUUCUACCAGCUUUUUAUGCUCUUCAAGUGUUCUAUCCUUGUUCUGCCGUUUUCGCUCAAUUUGAACCCGGUCAAAUGGCUUGUAUCGAUAAUUAAAACCUUUCCACAAUUUUGGAUGAACAUGCUCCGAAGGGAUAAGAUGGACUUGCAAAAGAUGCUCAAACAAUAGAUAAUUAUGCAUACACUCAGCAACAACCUCUGCCACCUCAGGAUCUGCAAAUUCGAUGAAUCCAUAAUGCUUUGAUUUUCCAGUCUUCUUAUUCCUUGCAAUUCUCAAUCUCUUAAUUGUACCAAACUGGGAAAAGUAAGCUUCCAUUUCUUUCUCAUAGAAACCAUGUGGUAUCCGACCAAUAUAUAACACAGUAGCAGUAUUUUUCUGCUCCUUUUGUUCAGGUAGCUUGGGUUUAGGUCCACCCUCUAAGGGCAAGAAAUCAGCAGAAUCUUUUUCAUUAGAUAAUUGAGAUGAAGAAACCUUCUUCAAGUUCUUCUUUAACGCUUUCUUCUCCUUAACCCCCAUCUCACGAGUAUAAACGAGAUUAAUCGACGAACGCUGUUGGAAAAGGUGUUAUCGUUGAUGAAAAAACAACCGGCCUAGUCGCCGUCCCCGGUAACAACAGCAAUAGAUGGAUAGAAGGAGCGAGGGAGUAAAUUAGAGUGAUGAAGCAACGAGAGUUUG
rnacentral:misc_RNA from 1 species